rnacentral:rRNA from 1 species
GAGUUUGAUCGUGGCUCAGAUUGAACGCUGGCGGCACGCCUUACACAUGCAAGUCGAACGGCAGCAUGAUCUAGCUUGCUAGAUUGAUGGCGAGUGGCGAACGGGUGAGUAAUACAUCGGAACGUGCCCUGUAGUGGGGGAUAACUAGUCGAAAGAUUAGCUAAUACCGCAUACGACCUGAGGGUGAAAGUGGGGGACCGCAAGGCCUCAUGCUAUAGGAGCGGCCGAUGUCUGAUUAGCUAGUUGGUGGGUAAAGGCCCACCAAGGCGACGAUCAGUAGCUGGUCUGAGAGGACGAUCAGCCACACUGGGACUGAGACACGGCCCAGACUCCUACGGGAGGCAGCAGUGGGGAAUUUUGGACAAUGGGCGAAAGCCUGAUCCAGCAAUGCCGCGUGUGUGAAGAAGGCCUCGGUUGUAAG